rnacentral:rRNA from 1 species
ACGAACGCUGGCGGCAUGCCUAACACAUGCAAGUCGAACGAAGGCUUCGGCCUUAGUGGCGCACGGGUGCGUAACGCGUGGGAAUCUGCCCUUGGGUUCGGAAUAACAGUUAGAAAUGACUGCUAAUACCGGAUGAUGUCGCCAAAGAGAUUUGGGGACCAAAGAUUUAUCGCCCAGGGAUGAGCCCGCGUAGGAUUAGGUAGUUGGUGGGGUAAAGGCCUACCAAGCCGACGAUCCUUAGCUGGUCUGAGAGGAUGAUCAGCCACACUGGGACUGAGACACGGCCCAGACUCCUACGGGAGGCAGCAGUGGGGAAUAUUGGACAAUGGGCGAAAGCCUGAUCCAGCAAUGCCGCGUGAGUGAUGAAGGCCUUAGGGUCGUAAAGCUCUUUUACCAGGGAUGAUAAUGACAGUACCUGGAGAAUAAGCUCCGGCUAACUCCGU